rnacentral:tRNA from 1 species
GGAGAGUUGCCGGAGUGGUCGAACGGGGCGGUCUCGAAAACCGUUGUACGCGUUGCGCGUACCAAGGGUUCGAAUCCCUUACUCUCCGCAA